rnacentral:rRNA from 1 species
UACGUAGGGGGCAAGCGUUGUCCGGAUUUAUUGGGCGUAAAGAGCGUGUAGGCGGCCAGGUAGGUCGGUUGUGAAAACUCGAGGCUCAACCUCGAGAUGUCGACCGAAACCAUCUGGCUAGAGUCCGGAAGAGGAGAAUGGAAUUCCCGGUGUAGCGGUGAAAUGCGCAGAUAUCGGGAAGAACACCCGUGGCGAAGGCGGUUCUCUGGGACGGUACUGACGCUGAGACGCGAAAGCGUGGGGAGAGAACAGG